rnacentral:tRNA from 1 species
GGGGAUUUAGCUCAGCGGCAUAAGCGCCUGCCUUGCAAGCAGGCAGUUGUGAGUUCGACCCCCCCCCCA